AAAAAUGAUACUUUUUGGAGACCAUCAAUUUCUCCCACACAACGCCUGGCUGUAUUUUUAAGAUUCCUUGCUACAGGAGAUUCUUUCAAAACCAUUUCCUUUAGCUACAGGCUGGGAAAAUCAACAGUUGCAUCCAUUAUCCAUGACACCUCUAAAGCAAUAAUCAAUGUUUUGUUAGAUGAGGUUAUGCCUGUACCGAAAGAAAAUGAAUGGAAUGCUAUAGCGGAAGAAUUUUGGAGAAAAUGGCAGUUUCCAAAUUGCAUCGGGGCCAUAGAUGGGAAGCAUGUUGUAAUACAAGCUCCAAAAAACUCAGGAAGUCUUUAUUGGAAUUACAAGAAGACAUAUUCUAUUGUGCUGCUGGCCCUUGUUGAUCCGUGCUACAACUUUAUUGCAGUAGAUCUGGGAGCAUAUGGGAAAAACUCAGAUGGAGGUAUUUUGGCAAACUCAAAUCUUGGAAAGUCAUUAGAAAAUAACAAACUUAAUGUACCAAAAAUUAAAGCAUUACCUAACACUAAUAUUGAACUUCCAAUGGUAAUUGUUGGCGAUGAAGCUUUUCCUCUGAAAAGAUAUUUAAUGAAACCUUAUCCAGGAAGGGGCUUGACAAAUGACAAAGCUACUUUUAAUUAUCGUUUGAGUCGGGCAAGAAGAAUAUCGGAAAAUGCUUUUGGUAUCCUGCAACAGAAAUUUAGAAUAUUUAAUAGAACCCUCCAAGGAGAUCCUGGAAAUCUAACAAACAUCGUUAUGACUGCAUGUAUUUUGUACAACUUUAUUCGAAAAAUCGAAGGUUAUAAGGUUUCUGAACAGGUGUUGAACGAAAGUGAAGCAGAUAGAAAAUCUGACAGAUAUUCAAAUCUUCAAAACCUACCUCGGCUUCGUGGUAGAUCUACAGAUGCUGCAUUUGAUGUGCGAGAGCAACUGAAAACCUUUUUGAAUUCACCAGAAGGGAGUGUAGAAUGGCAAGAGGAGGUAGCGUUGAGACUUUAAUUACACAACCGUACUUUGUUUUUUUUUUUGUAAAAUUAAAAAUUAAGUAGUAUUAAGUAAAACUAGGAUAUCUACCUACUUAUAUAAUAAAAGUGAAUUGGCUAUA